CGUGUCGUGAGAUGUUGGGUUAAGUCCCGCAACGAGCGCAACCCUCACCUCUUGUUGCCAUCAGGUCAUGCUGGGCACUCUAGAGGAACUGCCCCGGUCAACGGGGAGGAAGGCGGGGAUGACGUCAAGUCAUCAUUCCCCUUACGUCCUGGGCUACACACGUGCUACAAUGGCCGGUACAAAGGGAUGCCACACCGCGAGGUAGAGCUAAACCCAAAAAGCCGGUCUAAGUUCAGAUUGGAGUACUGCAACUUCGACUCCAUGAAGGAGGAAUCGCUAGUAAUCGC
rnacentral:rRNA from 1 species